AAUAUUUUUCGUCUUGUUAUCAGAAAUCCUUUCUGAGGGUGUACUGAUGACUUUUCCAGAAAUAAAAUUGCGACGAUGGACCCUUCAUUCAGAGAUUUAUUUUGAAGAAUCCAAUAUCUUCAGUAUUAAAUGCGAAUUUUUGGAAUUAGGUGACAGCAUCAAACAGGAAAUGAAACAUUCCAAGAGAAGAUUGAAGGGGAACUGUAGCAAGGAGAAAGAGUUGAGAGAGCAAGUAAAAGAGAGAGAGAGUGAGAGAGAGGGCGAGGGGAAUAUAGGGAAAGAGAAAAAGAGAGAGAGGGCAAGAGAGAAUCGACCGGGGAGAGCGCCCUGUAUAUCCUGGGUGGAACUUAAAAUAUCGAGCGUCACGCACAUCGACGCUGGCGCCGGAAACUCGGUGGAAAAGCCGCGGCGCCGCGUCGCGACUCGCCACGUCGGCUGGAUGGACGCGUGCGUCGCCGAGAAACCUGGAAAUAGAACUCGAACGCCACGAGAGAGAAGGAGAAAGAGGCACAGAGAUAGAUAGAUAGACAGAGAGAGAGGGAGAGAGAAAAAGAAAGAGAGAGAUCAUCUUUGCCAAAAGCUCCACGAGAAUUGGAAUUUUCAACAGGUGAAAAAGUGGAAAUUCCAGUACGCCGGGAGAUAGACCGAAAGAGUUGCACGUGAGAUCUCGCGCCGACCUUCUAUCGCCGCGACAAUAGAGAGACCAGAAAAUAUCCGGACAAUCUAGGCACCGUGACGUCAAGUUUCGAGUGCAUCGGAGUGGCCAGCAAGGACGACCAUGCAGUCGGUGUUCCCGCUCUCAUGGGACUGCGGAAGGGUAUCUCUACAUAGAAAGACGGCGUUCACCAGGAAUGCUGAAACGCGACAUUCCAGGAUGGAAAAGUCCACAGCCACGGUGGGUGGCCUUUAUCUUUCCGCCUUUUCCUCUCAUCCGGGAAAAUUCAUCCGGCGCUAGUCAAUAGUUCGGAAUGCAAUCAAAUAAAAAUAAUAUGCGCAUUCAUAAGAAACUGCAGUAUAAGAAUUUUAUGUUACUUUUAAUAUGCAGAAUUUUAUAUUAAUAUUAAUAUGACGCUAAUUUCUAACGUAUUUAAAAAAUAUUAGACAUUUAAACUUGAGUUCAAGUAUAAUAACGAUCUCGAUAAUUGACGUAACUUUAUGCAUUUCACAGAAUCGCAAACCGCGGAAUCAUAGUAACUCGAUGUUCGCGGUUACUGCGAACAAGAAUGCUUAAGAUAGGCGACACGACAUUAAGAUAGGCAUGACGCGUAACACUGUGCAGUAAUAUUUAUAAUAAUUAUUGUAUAAUUAAUUGUGUAAGCGAUUACCACAAAACAUUGGGUUGGCCAAAAAGUAAUUGCGUUUUUUUUUAUAUAAAUAAAAGGCGAAAUUUUCA